AUUGAACGCUGGCGGCAGGCCUAACACAUGCAAGUCGAACGAGUGGCGGACGGGUGAGUAAUGUGGGGGUAACGGCCUGAUGGAGGGGGAUAACAACUGGAAACGGUAGCAACUACCGCAUGCAAUAAGAUGUGCCGAGCUGGGAUUAGCUUGGUGGUUGGGUAACGUCUCACCAAGGCGACGAGCCCUAGCUGGGCUGAGAGGAUGACCAGCCACACUGGAACUGAGACCCGGUCCAGACUCCGACGGGAGGCAGCAGUGGGGAAUAUUGCACAAUGGGCGCAAGCCUGAUACAGCCAUGCCGCGUGUAUGAAGAAGGCCUUCGGGUUGUAAAGUACUUUCAGCUGGGAGGCGUUACCCGCAGAAGAAGCACCGGCUAACUCCGUGCCAGCAGCCGCGGUAAUUC
rnacentral:rRNA from 1 species